rnacentral:lncRNA from 1 species
UGCCCUCAACCUGUCACUGCCAGUAGAGUCUGAAGAUCUGCAGAGACUGCAGCUGCCUGGAGUCGGUGCACCCUCCAUGCCAGGGCUCAGCAAGGCAGCAGAUACUCUCUGAGAAAACAACAGAAACUGAUGACCAGCGCUGAGACCUGAAGAUCAAGUCCCAAAGAUCUAUCUCUUCUCCUGCCCGUCAAGGAGCUUGGUCGACCUUUUCUGGAGGAUGUCCCUCAAGGUCAAGGUUCUGGAUGGCAUGCUUGUACAUACGCAGACUGAGGUUGGCCAGUGGACCAGGCUCAAGAAUUCUUAUGACAAUCAAACUGGAUGAUGCAUGUGAAAGAGCUUCAGAAGCUGCCAGAGGCCAGGGCAACAGUCAUGGCCACACCCACAAUGUCCUCGAGGCGGCUCUGCCGUCACACUUUUGCAGCCUUUCGGCUCAGCUGUCCCGCUCCUGUCUUCUGUGCUGCAGCCAAACGGAAAUCUGUCAGAGUCUGAACGUGGCCUGCCUUUGUUCCAGCUGUGCCUCCUCCUGGGGUGCUCUUUCCUCUUAUUAAACUCCAUC